rnacentral:rRNA from 1 species
AAAUUGAAGAGUUUGAUCAUGGCUCAGAUUGAACGCUGGCGGCAGGCCUAACACAUGCAAGUCGAACGGUAGCACAGAGAGCUUGCUCUCGGGUGACGAGUGGCGGACGGGUGAGUAGUGUCUGGGAAACUGCCUGAUGGAGGGGGAUAACUACUGGAAACGGUAGCUAAUACCGCAUAACGUCGCAAGACCAAAGAGGGGGACCUUCGGGCCUCUUGCCAUCAGAUGUGCCCAGAUGGGAUUAGCUAGUAGGUGGGGUAACGGCUCACCUAGGCGACGAUCCCUAGCUGGUCUGAGAGGAUGACCAGCCACACUGGAACUGAGACACGGUCCAGACUCCUACGGGAGGCAGCAGUGGGGAAUAUUGCACAAUGGGCGCAAGCCUGAUGCAGCCAUGCCGCGUGUAUGAAGAAGGCCUUCGGGUUGUAAAGUACUUUCAGCGGGGAGGAAGG